rnacentral:lncRNA from 1 species
GCAGACAGCAGUGAGGUUGGGAUCUGAGAACCUGAGUUCCAGUCCUGCCUCUGCUAUCCAUAAAUUGCCUGACAUGGAGCAAACAACUAAACUUUCCAUGUAAAAGAGAGUUCCUCCACCUGCCUCACAGGGCUGGGAGAGUUAGGUGAGUAAUGUUCUUAAAAUUACAUGUUAAACUAUGUGCUGGGUAUAAACAAAGGAUUAUUUUCUUUAUCCUGGGUCCCAAUAGCCCAACCUCCUGCUAUUAAACUUCUCCCUAAGCAUCUAUUGGAUUGAAGAUCCUCUUAGCUGGCCUUAGCCACCUCCAGACUGCAGCUUCCUCAGUUUUAUUCUGGAUUAUUUGCAAAGCAAAUUGUGGGUCUAAGAGGCACAGUCACACCCCAGGCACAUGGUUUCUGCAAACAGUGACCACAGCUGCACACCACAGGGAAGUCUUUGCUCUUGUACACAAUGAUAAUGAUCCCUGUCAAUAAAACCCAUAAUUUACACAAAGAACAGAUUAUAUAGUGCUUGCCUUUGUGUAUUGCUUUCUAUUUUUCAAAGUAUUUUCACAUAUCCAUUUCUUUUGUGAUAAAUGCAGAAAUUGGCAUUUUUUACAGAGUCACACCCACCUAAAAGUAGGCAUUUCUAAACUCAGGUUUAAACAAGAUUCAAAGACAUUGAACCAUUAUAGAAAUUACCUUUGAAAUAAGCUAGAGAAACCAGUAAAUCCUGUGAACAAACUCAGCUGCUUUCCUAAGUUUUCAGACCAAUAAUUUUCAAUGUCUUCAUGUCUCAUUGGUAAUUCCAUAAAAGGUUUAUUUUGCUAAUUCAAGGCAGGUGACCUUUUUUUUAGGUUUUUUUUUUAAUUAUAAAAGGAGUAUAUUAAAAAGUAAUACAUGCCCACAUAAUCACAAAUAUUGCCAUCACUGAGAGUUAUUAUUGUUCAGCUUUUGGUAGAAUUCUUCCUAGUCCUCCUUAUGUGCAUUUGUAAUAUAUUUUAUUGAGAUGACACUUUAAUUUUGAGUAUCAAUAUUUUAUUUAUAAGCAUUUUCAAUGUUAUUUAAAAUAAAAUUUCACAAACUUCAUCUUCUUUCUUUCUUUUCUUUAUUUCUACACCCCACCUCCCCGGCCCUCAGCAGGGAUUAAACCCAGGGACAUUCUACCACUGAGCUACAUCCCAGUCCUUUUUAUUUUUUGAGACAGAGGCUCAUCAAGUUGUCCAGGCUGGCCUUGAGCUUGUGAUGAUCCUCCUGCCUCACACUCCAAAGUGAGUAGGAUUAUAAAUAUGUACCCUCAUGCCUGGCACACACUUCAUUUUUAGUAAGCUAGAAGUAAUUUGACAUUUGAAUUAUUAUAGUUUACCUUUCAAAGAAAGGAGAGCACGUUUCCACAUUUGUUCACAGAUCAUACAAAUGAAACCUUUUUAAAAAAUAUUUUAUUUUUUAGUUGUAGUUGGACACAAUACCUUUAUUUUAUUUUUAUGUGGUACUGAGGAUCGAACGCAGGGCCUCGCACGUGCUAGGCAAGCGCUCACCACUGAGCCACAACCCCAGCCCAUGAAACCUUCUUUUUUGGUAACUUUAAUCUGAAAAAUAUUCAGCACCUAAUGUUAGCACUCAGUUUUAGUAUUGAGAAUGAGAAUCAUAAUUUCUAUAGAAACCCAAGCUCCUAUUUAAGUAUCUAGUUUUUUCUUUAUAUAGGCUAAAAUUCCUUUUCUCCCAAGCAGAGAAAAUUCCCAUGUGCUAGGUAAUACAACAGAGCUUCCUGGCAGAGGUCUGAGAAGGAUUUUAUAUAAUAUUAGAGCAAGACAACGGACAGUGAGCACUUGCUAGCUAAGAUGUUGUUGCCACCUUCCUUCUUUUAUGUGUUAUAAGUCCGUUGUUUGAUUAUGCAGUAUCAUCUGUGACUUUACUGGUUUGCAUUUUAUGUUUUCUUUUAUUUGGACUAUAAGGGCCAUGCUCACUCAAUCUGCUGAUGUUUACUCCUCUUCUAUUGGGGUCAUGGCCAAUAUAACAGUACACUCAUAAAUUCUCAAGAGAGAAAAACAUUGUUUUCAAAGAAACAAUUAGAAGAUAAAAAGCUCCCUCUUUUCAAACAAUAUACUAAUUUAUCAAGAAAAAAAUUUAAAAGUCAAUGGAAAUAUAGGAGAUUAAAAUAAUUUAAGUAAAGUGGCUGGAUAUAAGAUCAAUAUACAAUAUACAAAAAACUUUUUUAUAAGCAAUAAACAUCAAUUAGAAAUAAAAUGGAAAAAGAGGUCCAUUUACAAUAUAUUUUUUAAUAUUUAUUUUUUAGUUGUACAAAAUACCUUUAUUUUAUUUAUUUUUAUGUGGUGCAGAGGAUCGAACCCAGGGCCUUGCACAUGCUAGGUGAGCGCUCUACUGCUGAGCCACAACCCCAGCCUACAAUAUAUAUUUUUUUAAUUAUAAAAUGCCUAGUUUUAGACUGAACAAAACUAUUCAAUAUCUAUAAGAAGCUACAAAACUUUACUAAAAUGCAUAAAAGCCUAAGUCAAAUGGAGAAUGUGGCCCUGCAGGGAAGAGUCAAUAUUGUAAACAUGUUGAUUUCCUCCAAAUCAAUCUAUCAAAUCAAUGCAAUCUCAAUUAAAAAAAAAUCAACAUGUUUUUAAUGGACUCAAUAAGCACUUUCAAAGGCUUACGUAAAUUAGAGAAAAUGUGCAAGAAUGGUCAAGAAUAUUUGAAUACAGAACACUGGGGGAUUUACUCUAUAUCAAAAUAUCUAAUAACUUAUUAUAAUAGUGUAAAAGAAACAAAUAGAUCAAUGAACCCAGAGUCCUGAGCCAGACAUACUAAAUUUAUCCAUAGCAAGACCCCAUGUGAGAAAAGGAAGGGCUGCCUAAGAAAAACCACAGAAACCAUUAUUCUUUCAUCAAGAAAAAAGUAAAAUUAGAAGUUGAAUAGUGUCUCCUUACAAUUCAUCUCCACCCAGAACUUCAGAAUGUGAAUUUUUUAGUAAUUAAGGGAAGAAUUGAUAUGAGACCAUAUUGGAUUAGGGUGGCACCUAAAUUCAUGGAGAGUGUCCUAUAAGGAGACAGAAAAAGACAUACAAAGACACAGAGAUGGUGGCAAUGUGACGAUAGAGUAAGAGAUUGUAAUGGUAAGUCUGUAAACCAAAUGAUGCCAAGGAUUGCUGCCAGCCACUAGACACUGAGAGAGAGGCAUAAGAAGGUUUUACUAGAAACUAACCCUCCAACAUGUUGAGUUCAGAAUUCUGACCUCCAGACUGUGAGAAAAUUCCACAAGCUACCCAACCUGUAAUAAUUUGUUAUGGCAGCCUUAAGAAACUAAUACAAUGCUUUAUCACAUUUCAAAUAUAAAAUAAGUUCCAAAUUAUCAAAGGUUAAAUACUGUAAAUGUAUUUGAAGACAACCUUGAAAAAUGUUUUUAUAAUUCAUAGGCUAGAUAACUUCCCAAACAAGGAAUCAAUCCCAGAUGUCUUUUAAAAUUUAUAUACAUUAAAAAUAAAAUUUAAAAUAUGUGGAAGAAAAAUAAAAUUAAAAAGCCAAAAUGUAUAUCAAAAGGCACUAUUAGGUUAAAAGACAAGUAAGUAACUGAAGAAAAUAUUUGCAGUAUGUAGCACAUUAAGGGUUAAUAUCUAUACUAGUCAGAGAUUAUACAAAUUAUUAAUGAACACAAAUGACUCAGAAAAAUUAUUCAAAUUAUAAAAAGUGGAAACACUGAAGAAAUACAAAAAGGCCAAUAAAAGCUUUAUAAUAGGAGCUGGGGUUGUGGCUCAGUGGUAGAGCGCUCAUCUAGCAUGCAUGAGGCACUGGGUUUAACCCUCAGCACCACAUAAAAAUAAAAUAAAGAUAUUGUAUCCACCUCUAACUAAAAAAUCAAUAUUAAAAAACUUUAUAGGGGCUGGGGAUGUGGCUCAAGCGGUAGCGCGCUCGCCUGGCAUGCGUGCGGCCCGGGUUCGAUCCUCAGCACCACAUACAAACAAAGAUGUUGUGUCCGCCAAAUACUAAAAAAUAAAUAUUAAAAAAUUCUCUCUCUCUCUACCUCUAUCUCUCUCACUCUCUCUUUAAAAAAAAAAAAACAAAAAAAAACAAAAAAACUUUAUAAUAUACAAAUAACUGAUAAUAUCCAGUUUACCUAAGGAAAGAAAGAUAUACACAUUUUUUUACAGUGCUAGUAGAAGAUAAAUAUGUGUUUAAAGAAUAUUAUAUUAUUAUAACUCUAACCUAGAGCUGAAAAAAGAACAUAGUAUUGUUUGUAAUAGAAAAAAAUCAGAAACAGCCUAAAUACCUAGCAAUAAAGUAAUUAAAUAUGUUGCAGCAUGUUCAAAGGAUAAUUAGGGCUUAGGAUGUAGCUCAGUGGUAGAGCACCUGCCUAGCAUACAUAAGGCCCUGAGUUCAAUCCCCAGCACCACACACAAAAAAAUAAAAAUAAAAACUAGACCAAGAUACAAAGAAGAAUCUCCAGGAUAUAUUAAGGGAAAAGAACAAAUCACUAAAUAAUAAGUACAGUUUAAUAUAAUUUAUUUAUCAACGAUAUAUAUCUAGAUUUCAAACUACAUACAUAAACUAUAUAAUUGAUUUACAAAUAUUCAUAUACACAAAUUUCAAACUAUAAAUAUGAUUGGUACAUAUACUGUUAUCUAAUCAUGCAAAGAAAGAGUUAGUGGGGAAAAUACAAAACUGCCAAGCUGCUGUGAAGAAAGGCAGUGUGUAUGUGUGAUUGGUUUUGAGUGUGUAUUUGGGGUAGGAGAAUAAAGAAUGACUUUCGUGUUUUCCUCCACAUACUUCCAGGUUGUGUGAGCUUUUCAAAUAAAAAUGAUGUAUUAUAAGUAGAAAGAAAAAAAAAACAUAACAAGCACAUAGAAAGUAAUGACACUAAUUGUUAAGUGUGUGGACCAUUGUUCAGUACUAUAUGCAUGUGGAUAUUUUGAAGGUUUUUUUUUUUUUUUUUUUGGUACUGGGAAUUGAAUCCUGGGCUUUGUGUAUGCUAGGCAAGUGCUCAACCACUGAACUGCAUUAGAAAUUUGAUAAUGAAGCAAGAACAGUCUUGAAAAAUACAUGAAAGGUAAAUUUUAUUUUUAUUUUUAUUUUUUUAAAAUAUUUAUUUAUUUUUUUAGUUUUCGGCAGACACAACAUCUUUGUUUGUAUGUGGUGCUGAGGAUCGAACCCGGGCCGCACACAUGCCAGGCGAGCGUGCUACCGCUUGAGCCACAUCCCCAGCCCAAAAGGUAAAUUUUAAAAACACAACAUGCACAUAACAUUCUUUUGGUGUCAUCAUUUUUUAAAGUGUCAAGGCAUCACAUGAGUCCUUGGGAAGUAAUGCCUUUGAUUUUUCAAGGUGAUACUGUAAUAGGAUCUAACUCUGGGACGUUAAGAGUUGUAAGAACAGAGGCUGGGGUUGUGGCUCAGUGGUAGCGUGCUUGCCUAGCAUGUGUGACACACUGGGUUCGAUUCUCAGCACCACAUACAAAUAAAUAAAAUAAAGAUCCAUCAACAACUAAAAAAUAUUUUUUAAAAAGAGUUGUAAGAACAAAAGAAGACACUGGAACACAAGAGACAUUAAUGUCAGUCUCCUCACUCUACUGGCCUGCCGAUGGUGAAGACUAAGGAAAAACAUAUGGAAACAUUUAGCCAUGCACAAAGUACUAUGCAAAUCCACUGUGUUUUAUUAGCUCCUAAAAGCAUUCACUAUCAUGUACUGCGUGGAUUACUGUGUUUGUCCACUAAAUGCUAAAUUCUAAAGAUAACACAUAGAUAGGGCACAGGGGACGGAGGGGAAAGGAGGGAGGAUAGGGGUAGGAAAGAUGGUAGAAUGAGAUGGACAUCAUUACCCUAAGUACAUGUAUGAAGAACCAAAUGGUGUGACUCUACUUUGUGUACAACCAGAGACAUGAAAAAUUGUGCUGUAUAUGUGUAAUAUGAAUUGAAAUGCAUUCUGCUGUAAUAUAUGAUAAAUUAGAAUAAAUAAAUAAAUUUUAAAAAUAUGCUUAGGUAAGACCAAUGAGGGCAAAAAAAGAGAGAAACCAAGAAUAAGCAGAGUAAAGAUUUUCAUAGGGGGCUGGGGCCCGGGCUCAGCGGUAGCACACUUGCCUGGCACAUGUGAGGCACUGGAUUCGAUUCUCCGCACCACAUAUAAAUAAAUAAAGGUCUAUCAACAACUAAAAAUAUAUUUUUUUUAAAAAAAGAUUUUUCACAGGCAGUUUAAAAUAUGUAACUGACCCUAAGGAGGAAAGUCCAAAUUUGGGGAUAUUAUAGAUUUGGAAACGAAUGAUGGUUGUGAGAGUGGUUUCUUAAUGAGUUUCAUUAGGGGAUGAAUUGGAGUGGAGGAAGCUCAGAAUCUAAAACAAUAAUAUAUUUUAAAAAUAAUUUUUAACUGAUUUUCGGAGGCAGAUCUAAAAAAGUUAGGUAAGCAAAAUACUCUUGGCUAGAAAGUUAUUACGUAUUAGUGAGAUAAAGAUCAUUCUUAUCAGAAUACUGUGUGAGAAGGGUUGUUCACAAGAUUUUUAUGUUUAGCAGAAGGCAUGGGUUAAAAAAAAGUUCAGAAAGAUUCAAUAAAAUAAUCCCCUCCAUGAAAAGUAUAUGCAAAGUGUUAUUCAAAUGUGUGUGUGUGUGUGUGUGUGUGUUUGGUACUGGGGAUGAACACAGGGGCACUUUACCACUG